UUGGUUCUAGUCCUCUAGAAAGCCUUUCCAAAGCAAUGACCAUCCCAUCCACAUGGUUGGGGAGAAAAUCCCUAAUGAGUGGAUAGUAUGGAGUGACAGACUCCACUUCUUACCACAAUUCAUGAUGACAUAUUUUUUAAAAAAACUGUAAGUUUGGAGUUUUAAGCAACAUCCAAGCUUCCUGCUUCCCCCUUGAUGUUGGUGGAUAAGAAGGAUGAACGUUUGCCCAGCACGCCAGGGUAGCACCGAGACCUCCGUUCUUCUCUUUGUCAUAUAUGACUUUGUACAUUCAGAUUACCCACACUCUUACGGUGUUUGUGGACAACUUGUUACUUCCUUAACUAUGCCAUGUCACUGUUCUCUGUUUGAGUUACAGAAUGAGCAUGGGCUGAGUGACUUUUCCUGUGAAGAUGUAAACCAAUGUUUGUUUACUCCAGGAAGGAAAAUUUAAAGUUGGAGGGACACUUCUCUGGAGAGCCCUGGAAUGUUGGGAGGAGAUUCAUCUAGAGUUCUGGAAUAUUGCCUUGCCAAAUCCCCAAGCUGACCGUGCCUUUUAUGUUUGGAUUGGCUGACACCCACAGUGCUGCUUGGACUUCUGCUUCAGUUUUCAGCAUCCUGAACUUGGAACACAAAAACAUGUCCGUGGCUUGGCUGGGCUUGGCUUUUAGAGUCAUACCACUUUGUACAAAGUUCCAUGAAUUGUCUACCAUGGCUUAACCAACGUAGGCUUCUGCUGUGUCACCAGCAGCAUCUACCGUGAGUGCCCUAUGAAAGGACGUGUUUAUGGGGCUGCGGAGGUAGCUCUGUUGCUAAAGUGCUCGGUGAACAAGCAUGAGCCCCUGAGCUUGAUCCCGGACGCCCAGAUGAAAGGUUGAGUAUGGUGGUGCAUGUGUAUAAUAUCAGUGCUCAGAAGGCAGAGACAGAAGAUCCCUGGGGCUUGCCUAGUCAAUCCAUCCAGCAUCAGGUCCCAUUGAAAAAAACAGGUCUCAAAAACAAGGAGGAUGGUUCCUUAAGAGUAAUCUAAUGUUGACCUCUGGCUCUCAUGCACACACAUACAUGUGCAUGGUAUACACAUAUGUACCCCCAUAUACAUGUACACACACACACACACUCACACACGGGACUUCCUUAAACUUUUAUCUAAAACUGGUUUCUGAGGCUCCCCCACAUUCAUCUUUUUAUCAUUUUAAAUAUAUUUUUACUACUUAGAAAACCAUUUAAACUUAAAUAUACUUUUGAUGAUACUCUUUUCCUCCCCCAAGUCCUUCCAGAUGCUCUUCUAUUCCUUACCCAUCCAACUUUAAGCUCUUUCUCAAAAAAUAAACAAGAAGUUAAUACAAAAACAAAAACCCCUCAAACCCCAAACUAAGAAUACAAAAUACCUCUUCUGCCUCCCAAAACAACCCACCACACUAUAACCAAACAAAGGCAGGAGCAAGUGCAUGAAUGUGUGUGUGUGUGUGUGUGUGUGUGUGUGUGUGUGCGCGCGCGCGUGUACACACUUAAACACACAUCUGUGGAGUUCAUUAUAUGAUGGUCAACUACUUCUGAACAUGAGGCCUGUCCUAGAGUGGUUUCUAUGCUCAGUGUCACUCUGUUGGAGAAAACUAAUUUUUGCUUUCCCAGCUGAUAUCAUUGACAGUUCAGUUGCUAACCUUUACCCUAGUGGCUAGAUUUUACUUCAUUCACUCAUUUAUUCAAAACAAAAAAUGAUCACAUCAGAGUUGGGCAAAUCAAAGUAACAGAAGGAAAAGAGCCUAAAAGAAGGCACAAGAAACAGAGAUCCACUUGUUUACACACUCAGGAAUGCCAUAGAAACUGGAAGCCAUACCCUAUCUAUCUAUCUAUCUAUCUAUCUAUCUAUCUAUCUAUCUAUCUAUCUA